rnacentral:ncRNA from 2 species
UCCUUAUCAAGAGAAACUUAGGGAAUGGCCCGAUGAAGUUUCAGCAACCACAUUUUAAUUUUAUGUAAGGUGCUAAGUCCAUCAGAACAUAGUUCUGGAAGAUGAGGU